UUCCUAUUAAUUGUUACUCUCUCCAUCCCAUAAUAUAAGGGAUUUUAGAGGGAUGUGAUCUAGAUUCGUAGUCCGAGGAAACAUCACAUACCUCUAAAAUCCCUUAUAUUAUGGGACGGAGGGAGUACUAGUUUAGGAA
rnacentral:pre_miRNA from 2 species